rnacentral:tRNA from 1 species
GGGCCUGUAGCUCAAUUGGUAGAGCGUUCGCAUGGCAUGCGAAAGGCAACGGGUUCGAAUCCCGUCAGGUCCA